ACUCCUACGGGAGGCAGCAGUGAGGAAUAUUGGACAAUGGGGGCAACCCUGAUCCAGCCAUGCCGCGUGCAGGAAGACUGCCCUAUGGGUUGUAAACUGCUUUUGUACAGGAAGAAACAUUCCCUCGUGAGGGAGCUUGACGGUACUGUAAGAAUAAGGAUCGGCUAACUCCGUGCCAGCAGCCGCGGUAAUACGGAGGAUCCAAGCGUUAUCCGGAAUCAUUGGGUUUAAAGGGUCCGUAGGUGGACGAUUAAGUCAGGGGUGAAAGUCUGCAUCUCAACUGUCGAACUGCCAUUGAUACUGUAGAACUUGAAUUAUUGUGAAGUAACUAGAAUAUGUAGUGUAGCGGUGAAAUGCUUAGAGAUUACAUGGAAUACCAAUUGCGAAGGCAGGUUACUAACAAUAUAUUGACGCUGAUGGACGAAAGCGUGGGUAGCGAACAGGAUUAGAUACCCUGGUAGGAUAGCGU
rnacentral:rRNA from 1 species